rnacentral:tRNA from 1 species
GCAGGGGUAGCCUAGAGUCCUCCGACGGGGAGCCUGGUAAGGCGCAGGCUUGCUAAGCCUGUGUCUCUAACGGGACUCGUGGGUUCGAAUCCCACCCCCUGCG